rnacentral:lncRNA from 1 species
GUAAGUCAAACAGAGAGAUGCAAGUACGAGAGAUAUGUUUAUGAUCAAGUUAUAUUGUCAAUUGUGAACAUUAUUAAAAGAUUGCAAAUUUUUUUGAAUGAUGGGAAAGAGAUAAUCAUUUUUCGUUUCUUAAUAUUCAUGAGGAUUAUGAUAUCUCCCAAAAAAAAAAAAAACACUUGUUAUUAAUAUGAUGUGUGUGUGUUUUGCAAUGUGGUUUUGUAACAAAUAAAAUAAAAAAACAUUAAAGGAGAGGGUU